AAAAAAAAAAAAAAAAAAAAGAGAAGUAGAAGAAGGAAAAUUUCAUGCCCUACUGUAACUUGAGAAUGCUUCAAGUAUCAAAAUGAAGUCUAAAUAAUUUUUCUCACCAUCAUCUUUCCAUGCUGAAAUGGCAUUCACCUCAAAUAUGGGAGUUCCGUCCAAUUGCAACGGUAAGAUUUCACUAUAACAGAGGAGAAAAAUACUAGUUUUUUCCGCUUACCUCUUUUGCACACCAAAAAAGCCUUAGCAAUAUAUAUAUAUAUAGGCUCCCAGGGCAUAUCUCCCAGUGGCAAAGGGGAGGGCGAAUAGGGCUCAACGCGGCAGUGUGCAGAGUUCGAUUCUCCACAAGGUGGAAUUGGCUUUGUUGCAAGCGGGAGUUACCAUAUGGGUUAACAGCCUUGGCCUAUCCAUAUGCUCUCCACCCUAGCUCCUGGGAAGCACAUCCUGCGAUUUACCUCCUCCACGAUGACCCAUGGCAGGGUCGGUAGGGACCCUUAAGGUUGGGGUUCAACCUUUUUUAAUAUAUAUAUAUAUAUAUAGGAAUGUCAGAGACACUCUAUGAUGCAAAGAAGAUAAAUACAAGUUUUUCCAUCAAACCUCUCUCACAAACCCAAAACCAGUUCCACAAUAUUCAUUUAAAUGGGGUUGGAAUAGAGCGGCCUAACACAUGAAUAAAUCAAUAUACCUCUAAACUCAAAACACAAAAACAUUUCAUGUUAUAUGUAUGAUUGGUGUAGAUUAUGACUAGACUCCAUACAGACCAACAUCUUCAACCUUUCAAAAGCGGACAUAACUCUCUGACACAUGAUACAAGUCCACUAACCAAUACGCAACUACAAUUAUUUAAUAACUAACACAAUCAGCCUCCUUUCACAUCAUUUUCCAACCAUACCACAUUUUUCCCAAACCAUCAAUCUUAAAACAUGUAGAACAUCUUUGGGAUCCUAAUGAACUCUUUGUGGACACAUUGAUCAGCGAGGGGGUUCACCACAUUUACAAUGAGCUAAUAUUUUCCUAAAAUGUGAACAAAACGAACUAGUAGCCCCAAGAACUUUUGUAAGUACUCACUAUAAUCUUUCAUUAUGAAACUUUCUUAUUCUCUUUGCAAUGUUAUAUCUUAUCCACCUCGUAGUGCCACCAUCUCAUUUAAAGCUCAAUUUACAACACUAAGCAAAUUAAUAUUAGCGUCACAUUGUACGCACUACCUUCAUGAGAAAAAUUUUACAGGAUCAACCUGGUUAUGCACCAUGUAAUUAUUAGUUGCCAAUUUUUGGUAACUAGUAAAUCGAUGAGCAGGACUUUAAGCAUGCCAGCCUGUUAAUAAAUUUUCUUGUGCAAAUUCCUAUUAUACAGUGACACAUCAUGUAUGAAUCUGCAAUAUACUGAAAAAAUUGUUCGAAUUUCUUAGCUACUGGAAAGUCAGUGUCUGAUCAUGAUUGGCCGAUGAAUAAGAUUUCAGAUCAUAUGCAUUUAAAGCAGUUUCAUAUGAAGACAAAACGUGGACAUGAUAAUAGAGUUCAAAAGGACAGUUUUUUAUUGUGUGUAGUCGAGAAAAUGCAAUCCUCUUAGUUUGUGUAAUCAAUGUUAAAAAUAUUUGCAUCAAAUCUCUUAAUAGUUGUUGUUUGGGAGUGCCUUCAUUGUAGUUUUCUCCGAACUGUUUCUAUAAUAUGUUAAUAAUUCAACCACCAAAUCAAUAGUGGAUAAUGGUAGAAGAACAGAUCAUGAACGAAAAUCCUAGACAUGAGAAUAGAGUUAAAAAUUCUGUUUCCUUUCUCAAAUGCACUAAAGAAAACACAAUCCUCUUACUCGUUGAAUCGAUGACCAAACUGUUUCAAUGAAACUUUUAAAAAUUGUCUGCUAGUGCAGAGUGCCUUUCGCGUCUUUUACGAAUUGGUUUGUAGAAGUUUCCAUAUACACUCUAAUAUAUAGAAAUCUUAACAGUUAAUACUUCAACCCUCUAAACCAAUAAGAUCACAAGGUAGAGGGAACAGGUCAAGGCAAAUGACCACACAAGUUUUCAGAAACUGUACAUUUCUCCCUUACAAAAUAGAAAUUUUUAACAGUGUCUUUAGAAAAGAAUAUAUUUUUCCCCUCAACACAUAUUUGAAAUAAAAAAUAAAAAAUAAAAAAAAAAUUCUUUAUAUAGCCCCCAUAAACAUAUAUCAGCAUACAUCAUCUAGAACUGUGUAUCUAGAUUCACCAAUGCCCCAGAUGAAAAAAAAAUGGAAAUAUUUUACAAUUUGGUCAGUGACAACCAAUUAUCGAAAGCACAAAAGUCAUGGGCAAAUCAAUCCCGAACGUGCAGGACUGAGAGUAUGUUAUAGUUCGAGUAAAUUAUGGAGGGUAUAAUAGAUGAAAGAAUGCCUAAACGUCAACGUGAUAAGCAAGCUGCCAUUUCGAUACUUAAUUCAUCAGAAUGUAAGAGUUGAGAAUAAACAACGAUUCAAUCAAUUGAAAAAUCCUCGUCAAACAUCUAAAAAAUCAACAAACCCUCAGAUAAUGAGAAAAAUUCUUACAGCCCACUAAAUAAUUGUAAUGACAGGGACAAGAAAAUAACCCAAUUUUGUAAGAUAUAAUAAGUGAAUAGAUAAGUGGAAAUACACGAGAUAAAAUUGGAGCAAGAGAAAGAGACAUACAGUGGAGUUGAAACCGACGACUGAAUUCAAUGAAACAGCCAUUUUAUAUGUUUAUGGGUAGUCUUUUUAAGGGCCAACCAUUCAAUCUUUCGCAAUAGGAGGGAUGAAAAUGGGGUUUCGAGUUUGUGAUAAUUGAAGAAAGCAGAGGAGUCAAUUGUGUUGAAGAGCAAAGAUUAGGCGGUGCGUGAAUUACACAUCUGAUCACUAGCGCGUCUAUCAC
rnacentral:lncRNA from 1 species